CAGCUCUCCGAGUAGUGUGGACGUUUAUUGGGCCUAAAGCAUCCGUAGCUUGCUAGAUAAGUCCUCUGGUAAAUCCACCGAUUCAAUCGUUGGAUUGCGGGGGAUACUGUUUGGCUAGGGGACGGGAGAGGUCGACGGUAUUUCCGGGGUAGGGGUGAAAUCCUAUAAUCCCGGGAGGACCACCAGUGGCGAAGGCUGUCGACUAGAACGCGCCCGACGGUGAGGGAUGAAAGCUGGGGGAGCGAACCGGAUUAGAUACCCGCGUAGUCC
rnacentral:rRNA from 1 species